rnacentral:rRNA from 1 species
UACGGGGGGAGCAAGCGUUGUUCGGAUUUACUGGGCGUAAAGGGUUCGUAGGCGGUGCGGCAAGUCUGAUGUGAAAUCCCGGGGCUCAACCCCGGAACUGCAUUGGAUACUGCCUUGCUAGAGUACUGGAGAGGAGACUGGAAUUUACGGUGUAGCAGUGAAAUGCGUAGAGAUCGUAAGGAAGGCCAGUGGCGAAGGCGAGUCUCUGGACAGUAACUGACGCUGAGGCACGAAGGCCAGGGGAGCAAACGGG